GACGAACGCUGGCGGCGUGCUUAACACGUGCAAGUCGAACGGAAAGGCCCUGCUUUUGUGGGGUGCUCGAGUGGCGAACGGGUGAGUAACACGUGAGUAACCUGCCCUUGACUUUGGGAUAACUUCAGGAAACUGGGGCUAAUACCGGAUAGGAGCUCCUGCUGCAUGGUGGGGGUUGGAAAGUUUCGGCGGUUGGGGAUGGACUCGCGGCUUAUCAGCUUGUUGGUGGGGUAGUGGCUUACCAAGGCUUUGACGGGUAGCCGGCCUGAGAGGGUGACCGGCCACAUUGGGACUGAGAUACGGCCCAGACUCCUACGGGAGUCAGCAGUGGGGAAUAUUGCACAAUGGGCGGAAGCCUGAUGCAGCAACGCCGCGUGCGGGAUGACGGCCUUCGGGUUGUAAACCGCUUUCGCCUGUGACGAAGCGUGAGUGACGGUAAUGGGUAAAGAAGCACCGGCUAACUACGUG
rnacentral:rRNA from 1 species